rnacentral:misc_RNA from 1 species
GAUGAAGAACGUAGCGAAAUGCGAUACGUAAUGUGAAUUGUAGAAUUCAGUGAAUCAUCGAAUCUUUGAACGCAUAUUGCGCUCUCUGGUAUUCCGGAGAGCAUGCUUGUUUGAGUAUCAGUAAACACCUCAACUCCCUUUUCUUUUUUGAAAUUGGAGCUGGACUUGAGUGAUCCCAACGCUUUCUUCCAAGAAAGUGGCGGGUUGCUUGAAAUGCAGGUGCAGCUGAACUUUUCUCUGAGCUAUAAGCAUAUCUAUUUAGUCUGCCUAAAAAACAGAUUAUUACCUUUGCUGCAGCUAACAUAAAGGAGACUAGUUCUUGUGCUGACUGAUGCAGGAUUCACAGAGACAGCUUCGGCUGACUUUGUAAACUCGAUCUCAAAUCAAGUAAGACUACCCGCUGAACUUAAGCAUAUCAAUAAGCGGAGGA